GUACUUCUGAAGAGUCCCAAACUGGGACGAAACAGUUGUCUAGUAC
rnacentral:hammerhead_ribozyme from 1 species